UUAGGAACAAAGCAAUUACUGUGGCGUUCCAUCAAAUAAGCAUCACCCAAUCAAGAAUUUAAUCAGUAAAUCUUCACGGUUGAAUUCCAGUGAGAAAAUAAAACCCAAACCAAGCAAUGGAAAUCGAAAAGGAAAUGCUAGAUCAAAAAUAAAGCCCUUCAAGCUUCGCACAGAGCAAAAGGGAAGAUUCAAAGAGGAAGAAUUCGUCAAGAAAUUACAACAAAUGAUGAUGGAGGAGGAAAAGCAACGGAUACCAAUUGCACAAGGUCUCCCAUGGACAACAGAUGAGCCAAAGUGCUUAGUAAAACCUGCCGUCAAAGAAAUCACAAGACCGGUUGAUUUGGUGUUGCAUAGCGAUGUGAGGGCUGUGAAGCGUGCUGAGUUUGACCAAUAGCUGGCUGAGAAGAUGAGCCUUAUUGAACAGUACAGGGAGAAAAGGGAAAGACAGCAAAAGUUAGAAGAAGAAGAGGAAAUCAGGAGACUAAGAAAGGAGCUCAUUCCAAGAGCUCAACUCAUGCCCUAUUUCGACAGGACUUUCAUCCCUAGAAGGUACCAGAUAAAAUCCAGAAUUUUUAAAAACUUCUUUUGCUAUACAUGGCUUUCCAUUUGAAUAUGGAUAACCAAAAAACCUACUAAAUAGAGAAAUUAUGUAGUAGGUUUGGCCUAUAGGACACAUGGUGUGUCUUUUCAAUAUUAGAAAAACAUAUGAUCCACUUGUUUCUAUUUUCUAUACAAGAAGAUAUCAUGUCUAUUUUGGUGGGCACGGCAAGCUGAACCUACCAGAUAACUUCUCAUACUAAAGACUUCAAAUAGACCCUCUCCUUCAAAUGAUUCUUAAAAAGCAAUAUGUAGUUUGUAUACAUUGCUUUCUUUCUUCUUUUUUUAUAUACAUUUUUUUCCCCUCAGUGUCACUUACUGUAGGUUCAACUUUUCCAGCACAUUUUAUUGAUCAGGUGUUGUUUGGAUCUCCAAUUUUGU